GACGAACGCUGGCGGCAUGCCUAAUACAUGCAAGUCGAGCGAACAGAUGGAGUGCUUGCACUUCUGACGUUAGCGGCGAACGGGUGAGUAACACGUAAGGAAUCUACCUAUAAGCGGGGGAUAACAUUCGGAAACGGGUGCUAAUACCGCAUAAUAUCUUCUUCCGCAUGGAAGAAGAUUGAAAGACGGCUCUGCUGUCACUUAUAGAUGACCUUGCGGUGCAUUAGUUAGUUGGUGGGGUAACGGCGUACCAAGACGAUGAUGCAUAGCCGACCGGAGGGGGUGAUCGGCCACAUGGGGACUGAGACACGGCCCAAACUCGUACGGGAGGCAGCAGUAGGGAAUCUUCCGCAAUGGGCGAAAGCCUGACGGAGCAAUGCCGCGGGAGUGAAGAAGGCCUUCGGGUCGUAAAACUCUGUUAUAAGAGAAGAACAAAUUGUAGAGUAACCGCUACAGUCUUGACGGUAUCUUAUCAGAAAGCCACGGCUAACUACGUGCCAGCCGCCGCCGUAA
rnacentral:rRNA from 1 species